GGCUCCGCAGGCACGGCGAGUCGAGCGCCGAGCAGGCGGCCGCGGGCGGCGCAGAGUGCCGAGCGGCGAGAGCCGCUAACGGUCGGCGCCCUCCUCCCCCGCGGAUCCGAGGCGGAGCCCGACGCGGGGAGCAGCUUUGCGGGAACUCGAGGCGAGGGGCAUCCUCCGGGACCUGCUUCCCUACGGGAUGUUGGGAUUUUUGAAGCGCCCCGUGGUGGUGACAGCUGACAUCAACUUGAACGUUGUGGCUCUGACUGCAGUGGGAUUACUGAGCCGCCUGUGGCAUCUCGCCUAUCCGAGGGCUGUGGUGAGAGAUGACUGCUGGCAGUACUACGGGGCCGUUCCCUUGUGGCUAACUUUUGAUGAAGUGUAUUAUGGGCAGUACAUCUCUUUUUACAUGAAGCGGAUCUUCUUUUUGGAUGGCAGUGGACCACCGUUUGGCCACAUGCUGCUGGCCUUAGGAGGUUAUUUAGGAGGAUUCGAUGGUAACUUUUUGUGGAACAGGAUCGGAGCAGAAUACAGCAGCAACGUGCCCGUGUGGUCUUUGCGCCUGCUGCCAGCCCUCACUGGGGCGUUCUCGAUCCCCAUGGCCUACCAGAUCCUGUUGGAGCUCGGUUUUUCUCACUGCGCUGCCAUGGGGGCUGCUCUGCUGAUGCUUAUUGAGAACGCUCUCAUCACGCAGUCAAGGCUCAUGCUUUUGGAGUCAGUGUUAAUAUUUUUUAAUCUACUGGCUGUGCUAUCCUACCUGAAGUUCUCCAACUCCCAAAAACACAGGCCCUUCUCCUUGAGCUGGUGGUUUUGGCUGAUGCUGACAGGAGUGGCCUGCUCCUGUGCGGUGGGCGUCAAGUACAUGGGUAUUUUCACAUACCUGCUCGUGCUCGCAGUUGCUAGUGUCCAUGCCUGGCACCUGAUCGGAGACCAGACUCUGUCAAAUGUCUGUGUGCUCUGUCACCUGCUUGCCCGAGCCGCCGCUCUGCUUGUCAUCCCCACCCUCAUGUACUUGCUGUUCUUCUACGUCCACUUGAUCCUGGUCUACCGCUCUGGGCCCCACGAUCAAAUCAUGUCCAGUGCUUUCCAGGCCAGUCUGGAGGGAGGACUAGCCCGGAUCACGCAGGGUCAGCCCCUGGAGGUGGCCUACGGUUCCCAGGUCACUCUGAAGAAUGUCUUUGGCAAACCUGUGCCCUGCUGGCUUCAUUCCCACCAGAGCACCUACCCCAUGAUAUACGAGAACGGCCGAGGCAGCUCGCACCAGCAGCAGGUGACUUGUUACCCCUUCAAAGACGUCAACAACUGGUGGAUCGUGAAGGAUCCCGGGAGGCACCAGCUGGUGGUGAACAACCCCCCGAGGCCCGUGCGGCACGGGGACGUGGUGCAGCUGGUGCACGGUAUGACCACCCGCUUCCUCAACACGCACGACGUGGCGGCGCCCCUGAGCCCCCACUCGCAGGAGGUGUCCUGCUACGUUGAUUACAACAUCUCCAUGCCCUCCCAGAACCUCUGGAGACUGGACAUUGUAAACCGAGAAUCCGACACAGAGGUUUGGAAGACCAUCUUGUCCGAGGUCCGCCUGGUGCACGUGAACACCUCUGCCGUCCUAAAGCUGAGCGGGGCACACCUCCCAGACUGGGGGUUCCAGCAGCUGGAGGUCGUUGGGGAGAAGCUGUCCCGGGGCUACCACGAGAGCAUGGUGUGGAAUGUGGAAGAACAUCGAUAUGGCAAAAGCCAGGAGCAAAAGGAGAGGGAGCUGGAGCUGCACUCACCGGCACAGAUGGACGUCAGCAGAAACCUAAGCUUCAUGGCCAGGUUCCUGGAGCUGCAGUGGAGGAUGCUUACGGCAAAGAGUGAUGACUCGGAGCACAAGUACAGCUCCUCGCCGCUGGACUGGGUCACCCUGGACACCAGCAUCGCCUACUGGCUGCACCCCAGGACCAGCGCUCAGAUCCACCUGCUUGGAAACAUUGUGAUCUGGGCUUCGGCCAGCCUCGCCAUGGUGGUCUACGUCCUGCUCUUCUUCUGGUACCUGCUCAGACGCCGAAGGAGUAUCUGCGACAUCCCUGAGGAGACAAAAUGUUGUCGUUGCAUUCCCACACUGUUAGAGGCUUCUUCGGGGAAAUGCAAGGACCAGGCAGGGAUUGCUGUGACCCCAGGAUAUUCCUGGCUGCGCUGGGUGCUGGCCGGGGCUCUGUGUGCCGGCGGCUGGGCAGUGAACUACCUCCCCUUCUUCAUGAUGGAGAAGACGCUCUUCCUCUACCACUACCUUCCCGCGCUCACCUUCCAGAUCCUCCUGCUCCCUGUGGUCUUGCAGCACGUCAGCGACCACCUGUGCAGGUCCCAGCUCCUGAGGAGCCUCUUCAGCGCCCUGGUUGUGGCCUGGUACUCCUGUGCCUGUCACGUGUUCAACACGCUGCGCCCACUGACCUACGGAGACAAGUCACUCUCACCCAGUGAACUCAAGGCCCUUCGCUGGAAAGACAGCUGGGACAUCUUGAUCCGGAAACACUAGCAGGACACAAACGGUGGUAAAGAACACGCCCUGCAUCCACUGCCACUAGAGCCCCCUGAACCAGGGCACAUGGAGGGCUAGCAUAGGACUUGUGACACCGGAAGGCAGCGGGCAGCCGUGGGUGCCGUCUGGGAGGGAGACAAACCAGGACAACGCAGACCGCAGGCACCGUUCGUGCAGCUAUGGACUUGGCGUGUGCAAGGAGGCCAGCUGGCUUUGGACGGCAUGCCCCGGAUGGGCCCAGGCUACCCCAGCGAAGCCCUGUCCACACAGCCCCCCCAGCCCCGGACGCCUGAGGAGGCCUGUGUGUGGACACGGCACCCAGCAGCCUGCGUCCCGCCCUGCUUGAGGGAACAGGUGCUGCCUCCCGCGUCUGAUGCUGGUUAAGGAGAGCUUGUUUCCCGGGGCUCCUUCCUUGGCUCCUGCCUUGGCGCACAGCCCGGGAGGAAGGAAAGCUCCUGUAGCUCCUUCCGUCAGUGUGUGCCACACUGGAUCACACCCGCUGGUGGGGCACGAAACUCGGUUACUAGGUCACAACUAACACGGUAAAUAACGAAACAUUCGCACGUGUAACAAGGGGGGAGGGAGACAUGACGUACUCUCUCUUCAAACCUCUGCUUCAGUCACGUGUGGGAACCAGAUCAUGCUAGAAUCUCUCUUGCUCUGGGAUGGUGUCACACACGCCAGGACAGCCACAGUGUGCAGGCUUGUGCCCCAUGUCCCCAAGAGGCGUGACAGGCUCAGCACACAUUCUGUGGCAUUUCCCAGUAACUCAGACUUUUAACCGCCUUAACGUGAGGAAGCAGGUGAAAACGGGGGGCCUGCCAACAUCCCGCCAAGCAUGAGGAACGGGAGGUCUGCCCGCAUCAGGGAGGACCCUGUGAUCCUCGCACCACCCUGUCUGUACCGUAUGACGCCGAGAAGAAGCAGCGGCAGCGUCUAUGGGGCGGGUGGGCCAGACCCUGAGCAUGGUCUAUCGGGGUUCCUCAGUGGGGUCUGCUGCUGGACUCCAAGUGCGAUCGCUUGCCAGAGGUCAGCACCCCAGGGCGGUCUCCGGGCUCAGGGAAGGUCCUCUUGUAGCUCCGCCCAUUGGACCCUCGGUGCCACUUGCAGAUGUCGCCACUCAGGAUGUCCUGGAUGUGCUGCACGAUCAGGUUGAUGGCCACUGUAGCAAAGACAAGCACGCUUAGCCACAUCCGCUCCCCGUUGGGCCCUCCAGGCCAGGCUCACCAGGCUGCACCUUCCCACGGUGCUCAGGGCCGGGGGCACAGGCCCCCCUGGGAGGCUUCCCCAGGGCGCCAAGUCUUGGCACACAGAAAAACUCGUGUCAGGGAAGGAGCACGACGUUCCUGACCUGGUCUGUGAGGCUUUCUGUCAACCAAGAGCCUGGGUAAAAUACUUUCUGCUCACAAGUGAGUCCCUGUCAACAUAAAUAUCUGUUUCCAGGUUUACUGAAAUGUAGCUGACAAACAAGAGGAGGUCAGUUAAAAGUGUACAAUGUGCAAUUUAAAAAUCUAUUU